UGGCUCAGUUGGUAGAGCAUGGUGUUUGCAACGCCAGGGUUGUAGGUUCGAUUCCCAC
rfam:Salmo salar isolate Sally breed double haploid chromosome ssa06, whole genome shotgun sequence.